GAAACAGUUGCUAAGACAGGAUAGGAAAUUAAGAGGCAUCUUUUAAUUUUUAAAAGACCUUUUUCGAAAGGUAUACUUAAAGAGGGGCUUGCGCCACAUUAGUUAGUUGGUAAGGUAAAGGCUUACCAAGACGAUGAUGUGUAGCUGGACUGAGAGGUCGAACAGCCACAUUGGGACUGAGACACGGCCCAAACUCCUACGGGAGGCAGCAGUAAGGAAUUUUUGGCAAUGGAGGAAACUCUGACCGAGCGACGUCGCGUGAACAAUGAAGUACUUCGGUAUGUAAAGUUCUUUUAUUGAAAAAGAAAAAAUAGUGGAAAAACUAUCUUGACAUUAUUCAAUGAAUAAGCCCCGGCUAAUUAUGUGCCAGCAGCCGCGGUAAUACAUAAGGGGCGAGCGUUAUCCGGAAUUAUUGGGCGUAAAGGGUGCGUAGGCGGUUUGAUAAGUCUAUAGUUUAAAUGCAGUGCUUAACGCUGUAGCGCUAUAGAAACUGUCUGACUAGAGUUAGAUAGAGGCAAGCGGAAUUCCAUGUGUAGCGGUAAAAUGCGUAAAUAUAUGGAGGAACACCAGAGGCGUAGGCGGCUUGCUGGGUCUUAACUGACGCUGAGGCACGAAAGCGUGGGGAGCAAACAGGAUUAGAUACCCUGGUAGUCCACGCCGUAAACGAUGAGUACUAAGUGUCGGGUUUCGGCUCGGUACUGAAGUUAACACAUUAAGUACUCCGCCUGAGUAGUACGUACGCAAGUAUGAAACUUAAAGGAAUUGACGGGACCCCGCACAAGCGGUGGAUCAUGUUGUUUAAUUCGAAGAUACACGAAAAACCCUUACCAGGUCUUGACAUAAUUUUGCGACAUUAUAGAAAUAUAAUGAAGGUUAUCAGAAUUACAGGUGGUGCAUGGUUGUCGUCAGCUCGUGUCGUGAGAUGUUAGGUUAAGUCCUAAAACGAGCGCAACCCUUGUCGUUAGUUGCGACCACGUAAUGGUGAGCACUUUAGCGAGACUGCCAAUGAAAAAUUGGAGGAAGGUGAGGAUUACGUCAAAUCAUCAUGCCCCUUAUGAUCUGGGCUACAAACGUGAUACAAUGGCUGUUACAAAAAGUAGCUACAACGUGAGUUUUUAGCCAAUCUCAAAAAAACAGUCUCAGUUCGGAUUGAAGUCUGCAACUCGACUUCAUGAAGUUGGAAUCGCUAGUAAUCGCGAAUCAGCAUGUCGCGGUGAAUACGUUCUCGGGGUUUGUACACACCGCCCGUCA
rnacentral:rRNA from 2 species